rnacentral:misc_RNA from 1 species
GAGAUCUGACUUGUUAUGGCUGUACAAGAAUUGCAAGGUCAACUUUAUUGAAGUUUCACCAGACAAAAUCCCUUUGAUUUUUCCCAGCCUCUCUGCGUAUAUUGCUUCUCGUGGAUCUACUCUUGUUUCAAUUAAAGGUUGAUUUUCCUCCGCCAUUUGAACAUCCUCUGCAGCAGUAGCAUCUCCAGUCUGUGCAGUAUUAGGCUCAGCAGGUUCUGAAGGUUGUACUUCUGGACUGGAGAGUCGAUCUCUCACAUUCAAAAGAAAAG